rnacentral:tRNA from 1 species
GGUUUAUAUAGUUUAUAUUAAAAAAUAUUGAAUUGCAAAUUCAAAGAAACAAAUAGUUGUUUAAACUU